UUGCGGUGGGGCUGUACUCCAUGUCGUGCCACGGUCGGGUGUGUCAUCCGUGGUCCUGCUAGAAGUGUGAAUUGGACGUCUAGAGCGAGGAAUAGGCCUGAUGAUGAACUCUGUAUAUGAGUUGAAGCGUCAGCGUCGAGCUUUUUGUCGUGUUAUAUUAAAAUCCCAAGGCCCAACCAAACUGUAGCAUGUUGGUGCUACUUUUAAGUUGUUACUUUUUAAAACCACACAAGAAAGUCUGGGAAAUAAUAAUAAUAAUUAUUAUUAUUCUGGCUGAGGAGAGCCAGAAUUUCUUGCCAGAAGCAUGCGGAUCUUAAAGGUUCUUUGCUGUCCAUUAAACGAAAACUAAAGCUAGAUUCGAUAUUGCCUUCUGCCAUGCAUAAAACUAGGCGCCGUCAUUACAUCGUCUUUAUUGUUUAUUUUCAGCCAAUGUCGUCUUCUACAUGAUCCACUGCGGGUGCAUAAUCUCUCUGGACAAUGUGCCGUUUCGAGUUGUCAAAGAAACUGUCAAAAUCUGCAUAUUUGGAACGGAAUACUACAAGAAGACUCCAGAGAAACAAAAAAAAAGGAAGCAAGCACCACUGACUGGCCGAAGGAGGUGUACGGGAAAAAGUGAAUGAACCUCCAAGGCACAAAAAAGAGGGUUCACGAGACUUCUCCCCUUUUCGUGGAACGGCUAUGUAGUAUGCACCAUACUAACGACUGAUGCACCAUACAUCAGGUCGCAUGUUUUGGUUACAUGAUGGGCAAAAACUAGGCAGCUCAACAUUGGCGGUUUCGAGUUCCACGAUACUAAAAGUACAUAUUUAGACUAACUUAAAAAUACUAGCUGAUAAAUGCUAAGUUUAGACGAUCGCCUA